GGCGCAGCUUUGGGGAUUCCUUAUCUCCGCAGUUUCUCUUCCCCUCCUCACUUGUGUCGGGACCUUCUUCCUGGAUACUCACGACGUGAACCCAGUUCCCACUCCCACUGGGUGUCGGGUUCCUAGAGAAGCCAAUCAGCUCACCGCGGUCCCGGUUUUAAAGUCCCCAGUCUCCCUUGGCGCCCCGAACCACCCAUGGCGCCCCAAACCCUCUCCCUUAUGCUCUUGGGGGCCCUGGCCCUGACUGAGACCUGAGCAGUCUCCCACCCCAUGAGGUAUUUGAGCACCCCCGCUUCAUCUCCGUGGGCUACAUGGACCACACGCAGAUUGUGCGGUUCAACAGCGACGCCGCGAGUCCGAGGAUAGAGCCGCGGGCGCCGUGGAUGGAGAAGGAGGGGCAGAGUAUUGGGACCCGGGGACACGGAUUUUCAAGGACACCGCACAGAGUUUCCAAGUGAACCUGCGGACCCUGCCCGGCUACUAAACCAGAGCGAGGCCGGGUCUCACACCCUCCAGGAGAUGUAGGGCUGCGACCUGGAGUCCGAAGGACGCCUUCUCCACGGGUAUCACGAGUUCGCCUACGACGGCAAGGAUUACCUCGCCCUGAACAAGGACCUGCGCUCCUGGACCGCCGCGGACCUGGCGGCUCAGAUCACCCAGCGCAAGUGGGAGGCGGACAAUGUGGCGGAGAAGAUGAGCGCCUAGCUUCAGAGCAGGUGCCUGGGGUGGAUCCGCAGACACCAGGAGAACGGGAAGGAGACACUGUAGCGCGCCGAUGCCCCCAAGACACACGUGACCCACCACCCCAUCUCUGACCAUGAGGCCACCCUGAGGUGCUGGGCCCUGGGCUUCUACCCUGCGGAGAUCACACUGACUUGGCAGCGAGAUGGGGAGGACCAGACCCAGGACAUGGAGCUCAUAGAGACCAGGCCCGCAGGGGAUGGAAACUUCCAGAAGUGGGCGGCUGUGGUGGUGCCUUCUGGAGAAGAGCAGAGAUACACCUGCCAUCUGCAGACCAAGGGGCUGCCCGAGCCCCUCACCCUGAGAUGGGAGCUGUCUUCCCAGCCCACCAUCUCCAUCGUGGGCAUCGUUGCUGGCCUGGCUGUCCUUGGAGCUGUAGUCACUGGAGCUGUGGUCACUGCUGUGAUGUGGAGGAAGAAGAGCUCAGAUAAAAAAGGAGGCAGCUACUCUCAGGCUGCAAGCAGUGACAGUGCCCAGGGCUCUGAUGUGUCUCUCACGGCUUGUAAAGUUUGAGACAGCUGCCUUGUGUGGGACUGAGAGUCAUGAUUUAUCCACACCUUCCGUUUGUACCUUCAAGAACCCUGAUUUCUCUUACUGCAAAGGCAUCUGAAUGUGUCUGUGUCCCUAUAGACAUAAUGUGAGGAGGUGGGGAGACCAGCCCAGCCCCGUGUCCACCAUGACCCCUUCCCCACGCUGACCUGCAUUCCUUCCCCGUCACCUUUCCUGUUCCAGAGACCUGGGGCUGGGAUGUCUCCAUCUCUGCCUCAACUUCAUGGUGCAGUGAGCUGUAACUUCUUAUUUUCUUUCCUAUUAAAAUUAGAAUGUGAAUGUAAUUUACUUCUUGAAAUUAUUUCCAUGAGACAUUGAUGGGAUAAUUAAAGGAAAAGAUUCCUGAAAUUUGAGACACAAAAUAAAUGGACGACCUGAGAACCUUC